CAAUAGCGUAUAUUAAAGUUGUUGCAGUUAAAAAGCUCGUAGUUGGAUUUCUGGUGGGAGCGAUCGGUCUGGCGCUUAGCGCGAGUACUUGCAUCGUCUCCGGCCAUCCUUGGGGAGAGUCUGUCUGGCAUUAGGUUGUCGGGCAGAGGAUUCUCAUCGUUUACUGUGAAAAAAUUAGAGUGUUCAAAGCAGGCUUAUGCCGUUGAAUAUAUUAGCAUGGAAUAAUAAGAUAGGACUUUGGUACUAUUUUGUUGGUUUGCGCACCAAAGUAAUGAUUAAUAGGGACAGUUGGGGGUAUUCGUAUUCCGUUGUCAGAGGUGAAAUUCUUGGAUUUACGGAAGACGAACUACUGCGAAAGCAUUUACCAAGGAUGUUUUCAUUAA
rnacentral:rRNA from 1 species